GAUGAACGCUGGCGGCGUGCCUAAUACAUGCAAGUCGAGCGAACGGACGAGAAGCUUGCUUCUCUGAUGUUAGCGGCGGACGGGUGAGUAACACGUGGAUAACCUACCUAUAAGACUGGGAUAACUUCGGGAAACCGGAGCUAAUACCGGAUAAUAUUUUGAACCGCAUGGUUCAAAAGUAAAAGACGGUCUUGCUGUCACUUAUAGAUGGAUCCGCGCUGCAUUAGCUAGUUGGUAAGGUAACGGCUUACCAAGGCAACGAUGCAUAGCCGACCUGAGAGGGUGAUCGGCCACACUGGAACUGAGACACGGUCCAGACUCCUACGGGAGGCAGCAGUAGGGAAUCUUCCGCAAUGGGCGAAAGCCUGACGGAGCAACGCCGCGUGAGUGAUGAAGGUCUUCGGAUCGUAAAACUCUGUUAUUAGGGAAGAAUAUAUGUGUAAGUAACUGUGCACAUCUUGACGGUACCUAAUCAGAAAGCCACGGCUAACUACGUGCCAGCAGCCGCGGUAAUACGUAGGUGGCAAGCGUUAUCCGGGAUUAUUGGGCGUAAAGCGCGUGUAGGCGGUUUUUUAAGUCUGAUGUGAAAGCCCACGGCUCAACCGUGGAGGGUCAUUGGAAACUGGAAAACUUGAGUGCAGAAGAGGAAAGUGGAAUUCCAUGUGUAGCGGUGAAAUGCGCAGAGAUAUGGAGGAACACCAGUGGCGAAGGCGACUUUCUGGUCUGUAACUGACGCUGAUGUGCGAAAGCGUGGGGAUCAAACAGGAUUAGAUACCCUGGUAGUCCACGCCGUAAACGAUGAGUGCUAAGUGUUAGGGGGUUUCCGCCCCUUAGUGCUGCAGCUAACGCAUUAAGCACUCCGCCUGGGGAGUACGACCGCAAGGUUGAAACUCAAAGGAAUUGACGGGGACCCGCACAAGCGGUGGAGCAUGUGGUUUAAUUCGAAGCAACGCGAAGAACCUUACCAAAUCUUGACAUCCUUUGACAACUCUAGAGAUAGAGCCUUCCCCUUCGGGGGACAAAGUGACAGGUGGUGCAUGGUUGUCGUCAGCUCGUGUCGUGAGAUGUUGGGUUAAGUCCCGCAACGAGCGCAACCCUUAAGCUUAGUUGCCAUCAUUAAGUUGGGCACUCUAAGUUGACUGCCGGUGACAAACCGGAGGAAGGUGGGGAUGACGUCAAAUCAUCAUGCCCCUUAUGAUUUGGGCUACACACGUGCUACAAUGGACAAUACAAAGGGCAGCGAAACCGCGAGGUCAAGCAAAUCCCAUAAAGUUGUUCUCAGUUCGGAUUGUAGUCUGCAACUCGACUACAUGAAGCUGGAAUCGCUAGUAAUCGUAGAUCAGCAUGCUACGGUGAAUACGUUCCCGGGUCU
rnacentral:rRNA from 1 species